ACUGACGCUGAUGCACGAAAGCGUGGGGAUCAAACAGGAUUAGAUACCCUGGUAGUCCACGCAGUAAACGAUGAUCACUAGCUGUUUGCGAUACACUGUAAGCGGCACAGCGAAAGCGUUAAGUGAUCCACCUGGGGAGUACGCCGGCAACGGUGAAACUCAAAGGAAUUGACGGGGGCCCGCACAAGCGGAGGAACAUGUGGUUUAAUUCGAUGAUACGCGAGGAACCUUACCCGGGUUUGAACGCAUUCGGACCGAGGUGGAAACACCUUUUCUAGCAAUAGCCGUUUGCGAGGUGCUGCAUGGUUGUCGUCAGCUCGUGCCGUGAGGUGUCGGCUUAAGUGCCAUAACGAGCGCAACCCUUGCCACUAGUUACUAACAGGUAAAGCUGAGGACUCUGGUGGGACUGCCAGCGUAAGCUGCGAGGAAGGCGGGGAUGACGUCAAAUCAGCACGGCCCUUACAUCCGGGGCGACACACGUGUUACAAUGGCGUGGACAAAGGGAAGCCACCUGGCGACAGGGAGCGAAUCCCCAAACCACGUCUCAGUUCGGAUCGGAGUCUGCAACCCGACUCCGUGAAGCUGGAUUCGCUAGUAAUCGCGCAUCAGCCAUGGCGCGGUGAAUACGUUCCCGGGCCUUGUACACACCGCCCGUCAAGCCAUGGGAGCCGGGGGUACCUGAAGUCCGUAACCGCGAGGAUCGGCCUAGGGUAAAACUGGUGACUGGGGCUAAGUCGUAACAAGGUAGCCGUACCGGAAGGUGCGGCUGGAACACCUCCUUUCUGGAGCU
rnacentral:rRNA from 1 species